CCAGACUCCUACGGGAGGCAGCAGUGGGGAAUAUUGGGCAAUGGGCGAAAGCCUGACCCAGCAACGCCGCGUGAAGGAAGAAGGCUUUCGGGUUGUAAACUUCUUUUGACAGGGAAGAGCAGAAGACGGUACCUGUCGAAUAAGCCACGGCUAACUACGUGCCAGCAGCCGCGGUAAUACGUAGGGGGCAAGCGUUAUCCGGAUUUACUGGGUGUAAAGGGAGCGUAGACGGCAGCGCAAGUCUGGAGUGAAAUGCCGGGGCCCAACCCCGGAACUGCUUUGGAAACUGUGCAGCUCGAGUGCAGGAGAGGUAAGCGGAAUUCCUAGUGUAGCGGUGAAAUGCGUAGAUAUACGGAGGAACACCAGUGGCGAAGGCGGAUUGCUGGACAGUAACUGACGCUGAGGCGCGAAAGCGUGGGGAGCAAACAGGAUUAGAUACCCUGGUAAC
rnacentral:rRNA from 1 species